GAUGAACGCUGGCGGCGUGCCUAAUACAUGCAAGUCGAGCGAACAGACGAGGAUCUUGCUCCUCGGACGUUAGCGGCGGACGUGUGAGUAACACGUGUAUAACCUACCUAUAAUACUGGUAUAACUUCGGGAAACCGGAUCUAAUACCGGAUAAGAUCCUGAACCGCAGUGUGCAACAGUGAGAUACGGUCUUUCUGUCACUUAUAGAUGGAUCCGCGCCGUAUUAGGUAGUUGUUAAGGUAACGGCUUACCAAGGCUACGAUGCGUAGCCGACCUGAGAGGGUGGUCGGCGACACUGGAGGUGAGACACGGACAUUACUCCUACGGGACGCAGCAGACGGGUACGUUCGGCAGUAGGCGAGAGCAUGACGCAAUGGGGGCGAGUGAGAGGCGGCGGUGUUCGGAUCGUAAUGCCCUGUUAUGAGGGAAGAACCGCUUUGUACGUAACUGUAGCCGGAUUGACGGUAAUUAAUCAGAAAGCAACGGCUAACUACGUG
rnacentral:rRNA from 1 species